CUGUACGCUUCGCCGCGUGUUCUCUCCUCUUGUCGCGUCCCCACCGCAAGAAGAGGUCGGUUGCAAAGGGGAGCUCGUGGACGAAAGCAAGUCUCUCGUAAAGGGCUCGCAUCGCGGGAACCACAAGCAGGCACACACACACACACACACACGCACACACACAGAGACAUAAAAAGCACCCGCCGCUAACCGCGGCCCCCCCCCACCCUCUCUCGCUCCCCUCCUCUCUCUGUAGCAGCAGAAUGGGCUACACACGCGAGCGCACCAAUCGACACUUCUUUGUGUCGCGUGCCAACGCCUUCUUCUCUCGUCUGCCGAUUGCCCGUAUUCAGCGCGCGUUGGCGAUGGAGGCGAUCAAGAAAGGUUCCAUGAAGCCGUGGAAGCACACCAAGGAGCAGAUCAUCGGCUCUCCCAUCACGUGCAACUUCGAGUACAACCCGCGGCCGGUGCGGCUCAUCGGCACGGUCAUGGACGCGCACACCGAGGAGACGAGCAUUAAGGGCGGGCUAAAGGUGUACUCGCGCAACGAGGAGGCGAACAUGAUGCUGUGGAUCCCCGCCGGCAACCCCAAGCUGAAGUAUGAGGUGACUUCCGCGAAGGGCAGCUUUGAGCAUUACCUGGACGAGCGUAGCAAGUGGGAUGAGGCGUGGCUGACGGGCCGGGCUCGCAUGAAAUAAGGCGCGAGCUCACACGCGAAAAAAAAAAAUGAUGGUGGUGGCGGUGGCGGCAGGGUCGCCUCAGACACGCACGAUCACGAGUGGGGCAAUGAAGGCGUUUGUGUUGUCGUUGCUUGCAGGGGGAAUCACGCGCCUCUUUUUGGCACGCCCUAACGAGCCGAUACAUGAACGUGGCGCUGGUGAACACACGUGCGUGCGCGCACCAAAAAAGUGAAGUCAGCGAAAG
rnacentral:misc_RNA from 1 species